GCAAAGGAAAAGGGGGCUGGAAAGGGACGAACAGAAGAGACGUGCCCGCUGCUGCCCGCCACGACCUCCAGACAAAGAGGAAUUUGUCGAAACCGCGCAUCCGACUUCGAGAUCUGUGGCGAACCCGCCCUAGUGGUGCUUGCCGUCGCUGCCACCGUUUUUAUUGGUUGUUGUCGAGGUUGUUGUUGUUUUCAUCUGUGGUCGUGCUGUUGUCGCACUCGCUUGGCGACCCCAUCGUUUUUUCCCUUUUGCCGUUGCUGCUCUGUUUUGGUGCCUCGUCUGCCAGACCCGCUGACGCGGAACGAACACUCCGCCACCCCUCUCUCGCGCUGUGGAUGAUCAGUGGGCAGUGCCUGUCCAUUUGUGUGACCGUGCUGGAGGCAAGGGGUGCUGUGAGGUGCAGCGGAGCUCUGUAUCUCUCGCGCUGCUGCCUUUUUUUUUUCGGGGGGUCUAGUAUUUCAUGCAAGCUCUUCACGGUUGUCUCUCUCUUUUUCUCACGCGCUUGUGGACCGGCAUAUUUCCUUUUUUUUUGGCGCCUCGCUUUCUCGAGGACGGCGCACAG
rnacentral:misc_RNA from 1 species